GCGCAAAUGGUUUAGUGGUAAAAUCCAUCGUUGCCAUUGCGAGUCUCAACCUUGAGAUUUGAAAUUCGAUGGGCCCCCGGUUCGAUUCCGGGUUUGCGCA